rnacentral:antisense_RNA from 1 species
CUUCACCGACCCCAGCCACAGCGGCCGGUCCCCGGCGCGUCCCUGGCCGUAGGUGGCCAGCAGCGCGCCGGCCUC